UUCACCCCCACUCCUGAAUUUUCUUAAACGUGUGACCAGGCGGCCGAAAGUGUGGAACUGCUUUGAAGGAGGUGGGGUGCGACCGGGCGCUGCCGGCGGACCGGAAGUCGAGUGGGGGGAGGCUCGGAAGACGGCGGGAGGGGAUUGGCUGAGCGACUCCCGCAGUCUGGGGAGAGCGGCUGCGGAGACCAGGGGCAGAGGCCUACACUGCGGGGCCGGCGAGGGGGACAGGCCCGGGGAGGUUGGCAGGCGUGGAGUGUAGCGGGUGGCGUAGGGCAGGGGCGCCCCCGGGUCCACGAUGCAGCUCCGUAUGAAGCCGCAGUAUUUUCCUUAUAUGAUCGGGCCCCAUGGCUGGCGGCGGCGCUGGCGGAGCCUGAGAGGAUUAUGAAAACUUGUCAGGCGAAAUGGGGCCAGGGAACCGGGGGCUGGGAGAUUAGGGUGAGCCGGUUAGGCUACGGAUGAGGGAGGUUAGGGAUGCCUCUGCCGCUGUAACUGUGAGCCCUGGUCGAUGAUGACGUGACCACUGCGCAAUCUGAGUUCUGGGAACCAGGUGAUAGAGUGUGUGCUGAGAACGGACUGAGACCGGGCGAGCAGGAGGCGAGCCGGGCAGAGAAGGGGCAGAUCCCCAGCGCCAGGGCUCGGAGGCUGGCCAGGCUGCUUCGGGCUUGAUUCGCGUGGUCGGUGUGGUGUGCUCCAAGGACAAAGAACAAGAUAAACUAAAAGGGCCAACAUCGCCGGAACAGAGAGUUACCAGACCCUUAUCACUCUGUCAUGCAGCAACCAUUGCAACAUCUCUGAGCUUUCCCAAGCAGCAUGCCUUGCUCUUUCUCCAUACCAUAUAUAGAAAGUUGAUUGCAUCCAUGGACACAGAACCCAGGGAUACAGAGGGCCUUGGCUUUGAAUAAAUGAGGCAGGUCUCUCUAUUCCCUGAGACACAACAGUAUUGAAAUUAGGCCAACUCGUAACCCUGAAGUGGCCUCUUAAGUGCUCAAGUGAAAGGAAGAGUCACACAUCUCUCACAUUAUAUCAAAAGCUAGAAAUGAUAAAACUUAGUGAGGAAAGCAUGUGGAAAGCCAAGAUAGGCUGAAAGCUAGGCCUUUUGCAAACAUUUAGCCAAGUUGUGAAUGAAAAGGAAAAGUUCUUGAAGGAAAUUGAAAGUGGUACUCCAGUGAACACACAAUGAUAAGAAAGCAAAACAGCCUAUCGCUGAUACAGAAGUUUUCAUGGUCUGGAUAGAAGAUCAAGCCCGUCACAACAUUCCCUUAAGCUAAUACCUGGUCCAGAGCAAGGCCCUAACUCUCUUCAGUUCUGUGAAGGCUGAGAGAGGUGAGGAAGCAGCAGAAGAAAAGUUUGAAGCUAGCAGAGGUUGGUCCAUGAGGUUUAAGGAAAGCAGCUGUCUCUAUAACAUCAAAGUGCAAGGUGAAGCAGCAAGUGCUAAUGUAGUAGCUGCAGCAAGUUAUCCAGAAUCUAGCUAAGAUAAUUAAUGAGGGUGGUUAGACUAAACAACAAAUUUUCAAUGCAGACAAAACAGCUGUCUAUUGGAAGAGGAUGCCAUCUAGGACUUUCACAGCCAGAGAGGAGAAGUCAAUGCCUGACUUCGAAGCUUCGAAGGACAGGCUGACUCUCUUGUUAGGGACUAAUGGAGCCGGUGACUUGAAGUUGAAGCCAGUCCUCACUUAUCUUUCUGAAAAUCUUAGGAUCCUUAAGAAUUAUGCUAAAUCUACUUUGCCUGUGCUCUAUAGAUGGAACAACAAGCCUGGAUUACAGCACAUCUGUUCCACAUGGUUUUCUGAAUAUUUUAAGCCCAUUGCUGAGAUCUCCUGCUCAGAAGAAAAGAUCGCUUUCAAAAUAUGACUGCUCAUUGACAAAGCAUCUGGUCACCCAAGAGCUCUGAUGGAGAGGUACAAUGAGAUUUAUGUUGUUUUCAUGCCUGCUAACACAACAUCCAUUGUGCAGCCCAUGGAUCAAGGAGUCAGUUUGACUUUCAAGUCUUAUUGUUUAAGAUAUACAUUUUGUAAGGCUAUAGCUGCCAUAAUAGUGAUUUGAGAAGAUUAACUCUAAUUUUGAAAGAUGUUCUACUGUGGGUAAAAUGGUAUCAAACAUCAUUGCACGCUACGAGAAAUCGUUCGUGAAAGGAAGAGUCAAUAGAUGUGGCAACUUCAUUGUUGUCUUUUUUUUUCUUUAAUUUUAUUUCUUUAUUUAUUUUUAUACAGCACGUUCUUAUUAGUUCUCUAUUUUAAACAUAUUAGUGUAUAGAUGUCAACCAGAAUUGCUGCAGCCACCCAACCUUCAGCAACUACCAUGCUGAUCAGUCAGUAGCCAUCAACAUUGAGCCAAGACCCUCUACCAGCAAAAAGAUUAAGACUCGCUGAAGGUUCAGAUGAUGGUUAGCAUUUUUAAGCAAUAAAGUAUUUUUAGAUUAAGAUAUGUACAUUGUUUUAUAGACAUAAGGCUAUUGCACACUUCAGUAUUGUGGAAACAUAACUUUUAUAUGCACUGGGAAACCAACAAAUUCAUGUUACUCACUUUAUUGUGACAUUCCCUUUAUUGCAGUGGUCUGCAACCAAACUGGCAGUAUCUCCAAGGUACCUGCCAUAACCUGUGUAACCUGAGGUGUAACCAUGCAGGUCCCUAUUGGUCCUUCCCUGGACAGACCCCCACCCCCACCCCCACGUCCUCCACCUGCCUCUUGUUGGUAGAAAAACUUUAACUGCCUAGGCCUUCCCUGAGUUCCAAAGAGCAAACUUAAUCAGAGAAUGAGAAAAUGCAGAAACAAAGGAAAACAGUCAAGACAAACAUAAUAACAGUUUAACCAUUAAACAAAGUCAAGGACCUUUAGUUCCUCCUCAAGGGCUAUAGAUAAUGUUCUGAGCCAAGUCCUUUGAUCUGUUUUGCAGAUACAGAAACCGCCACCAGGUGGGAGAAGUUAACUGCGUGCUGCCCACAAGCACAUAGACCCCAGACCAGCUGGAACCAGAAGGUUGGUGAUGUUGACUCCUGAUUACCUCACCCCCAACCAGUCAGAACAAUGUCUAGGAGCGGAUCAGAAGGAGAUCACCGGGGCCUAGCUGGGAGCACCAGGCCAGCUUCUGCCACCACCCAGACCUACCUCUGAGUGUCAGACCAGGACCCAGAUGUCGGCUGCUUUGUUCUUUCUCAGCUGUUACUAGAUAAGUGUAUGUUGUCUGAAAUUUGGCUCCUGGCACACAGUUUUCCUGUUGAGGUCCUGAAGAUAGGCCCUAAUCUCGCUGGGAAUGAGGUGGAGGCUUUCCUGAAGAGAGGUUAUUCUUCCACCAGCCACCCAGAAAAGAAGUUUGUCCAUCCUUAAUUGGAAGUUGGGUUCCAGAGGUGCUGGGCAGAGAGAAGGUGCAUGAUUUAAUUUGGAAAAUCUGAUCUCCUCAUGCUGGUCUCAUUUUGCACUACCACCUUGGGGCUGGCCCAUUUCUAAAUAGGCACAUUCGUGAUGGAGGGCUAGGCCACCUGUGUGUGGACCAGAGUGAUCUUUUUACAGACUGGUAAUAUCUCUGCAACCGAGUCCUAGUACAAAUACAAUUUUGAGGGGAAAAGGAAAGGAACAUUUAAAUGCCUCUAGGUUCUCACUGACUUUAUUUAAAAUAAUGUAAAUGGAUGCUAAGUGAAAACAGGACCAUAAUGGAAACAUAGCUGUAAAGAAAACAAUUAAAUGCCAAAUGCCGGAUGCUGCCGCUUUCUGAAAGAAAUUUAAGUUUCUAGGUGAGAGACAUUCCAGAAUUCAUUGUUAAGCAUUUAAAAAAGUGUGUGCCUAAGCUUGACGUUUUGCGAGUUGACUACCUUAUCUUUCUACGUAAGCAAGAGACACCAGAGAGUUACUGGGAAACCGUGGCAUCUUGUUUCACAGAGCGAAGUAGCCUUUGGUUCAUCCAGGAACAUCCCAUCCUCUGGACCUUCAGGACUGUAUCAUUGGGAGCAGAAAGGGCCAGGAGUGCCACACUAA